AGCGAACGCUGGCGGCAGGCUUAACACAUGCAGGUCGAACGCCCGUAGCAAUACGGGAGUGGCAGACGGGUGAGUAACGCGUGGGAACAUGCCCUUCGGUUCGGAAUAACGCAGGGAAACUUGAGCUAAUACCGGAGAAGCCCGAGAGGGGAAAGAUUUAUCGCCGAAGGAUUGGCCCGCGUCCGAUUAGCUAGUUGGUGAGGUAAUGGCUCACCAAGGCGACGAUCGGUAGCUGGUCUGAGAGGAUGAUCAGCCACACUGGGACUGAGACACGGCCCAGACUCCUACGGGAGGCAGCAGUGGGGAAUAUUGGACAAUGGGGGCAACCCUGAUCCAGCCAUGCCGCGUGAGUGAUGAAGGCCCUAGGGUUGUAAAGCUCUUUCGGCGGGGACGAUAAUGACGGUACCCGCAGAAGAAGCCCCGGCUAACUUCGUGCCAGCAGCCGCAGUAA
rnacentral:rRNA from 1 species